AUUGAACGCUGGCGGCAGGCCUAACACAUGCAAGUCGAGCGGAUGAGGAGUGCUUGCACUCCGAUUCAGCGGCGGACGGGUGAGUAAUGCCUAGGAAUCUGCCCGAUAGUGGGGGACAACGUUUCGAAAGGAACGCUAAUACCGCAUACGUCCUACGGGAGAAAGUGGGGGAUCUUCGGACCUCACGCUAUCGGAUGAGCCUAGGUCGGAUUAGCUAGUUGGUGAGGUAAUGGCUCACCAAGGCUACGAUCCGUAACUGGUCUGAGAGGAUGAUCAGUAACACUGGAACUGAGACACGGUCCAGACUCCUACGGGAGGCAGCAGGGGGGAAUAUUGGACAAUGGGCGAAAGCCUGAUCCAGCCAUGCCGCGUGUGUGAAGAAGGUCUUCGGAUUGUAAAGCACUUUAAGUUGGGAGGAAGGGCUGUAGGCUAAUAUCCUGCAGUUUUGACGUUACCAACAGAAUAAGCACCGGCUAACUUCGUGCCAGCAGCCGCAGUAA
rnacentral:rRNA from 1 species